rnacentral:miRNA from 1 species
AGACACCCAGUUAAAAUUGAAUUUCAGAUAAACAACGAUUAAUUUUUUUUUAGUAUAAAUAUGCCCCAUACGGUAUUUGGGUCAUACUUAUACUAAAAAGUUAAAUGUCAUUUAUCUGAAAUUCAAAUUUAACUGGGCAUCGUGUAUUUU